rnacentral:rRNA from 1 species
AGUAACGCGUGUGCAACCUGCCUAUGACAGUGGGAUAGCCUCGUGAAACCGGGAUUAAUACCGCAUAAAAUCGUAGAAACACAUGUUUCAACGGUCAAAGAUUUAUCGGUCAUAGAUGGGCUCGCGUCUGAUUAGCUAGUUGGUGAGAUAACAGCCCACCAAGGCGACGAUCAGUAGCCGGUCUGAGAGGAUGAACGGCCACAUUGGAACUGAGACACGGUCCAA